GAUUCUGUAGGACUCCAAGUUAUAGUCAUACCUAACUACCAAGAUGAGUGAAAAGCCUUCUAGAGAGCAUGAGCUAAAUGAAUGGCUAAUCAAGUAACAUAAAACCUAUUUUCUAGAAGCAGAGAAUGACUAAGAGAAAGACCUAGUCACAAGAUGAAGAAUUAUGAAUCUGUUAAAAUUCUAUAACAUUUAUGAAGAUUCUUGGCAGGCCAAAAUGGAUUGAGGAAAUGACAAAUCCAAAUUUAGGUAUUUUUUAAAGAAUUUUCAAUUAUGUCCAUGCCAAUUCAAUUUCUAUGAAGACUUUUCAUUCAGGGAUUAUGGAGCAUGAGAGAGGAUGCCAGGUGCAGGCCCUGUGACAGCUUUGAGCAGAAUACAGAAGUGAUGCUACUAGCUUUGUCCCCAGGCUGUAAUCCACUAUCAGCUUCCUGUCUCUUGGGACACUCUCUUUGGAAGCCCUGAGCUACCAAGUAAGAAAUUCAACUGCUGUGGGACCACCAUGUUGUAGUGGCACAUGAGGUGUUGAGUCAAUAGUCCCAGCUGAACCCAGCCUCCCAUCCAUCUACUCCUAAGGUACCAUCCAUUCCAAAAGACUAUCUCCUCCAAGGCACUAAGGAGAAGCCUUGUUGAACUUUCCAAUCCAGCACAUUUGCAACUGACUAACAUCAAGUAACCUCUGUUGAUGUCCAACGGAAGAAUAAUCUCCUUACCCAAAUUUCUGACCAUAAAAACCAUGAUACAUAAUGAAAUCCCAUUCUUUUAUGCUACUAAA